CAGGUUCACACACUCACUAGAUCGGUCACAACAUUAGAAGCCAGACACAGGAGACGCAACAUACGCCUGAGAGGCAUCCCAGAGCAGAUUGGAGGGGACGCACUGCUACCCUUCACCCAGAGGCUACUGGUAUCUAUGAGCAUAAAAUGAAGCACACACUGCUAACAUCAACCUUUAAAGUACGCAAGGCAGCGUGUGCCCCACAAGGAGCGCCAAAGCGCCAUCAUGAGCCGAUCCAGGGAGCUUGGCAAUAUACACUUCGAAGGUUAUACAGUGGCAAUCUAUGGAGAUCUUCCAUUUGCCACACUACUAGAACUCAGACAACUAGACCUGAUAGCCACACAGCUGCGGAACGCCGCAAUCUAAAACCGCUGGGGAGCGGACGGUUCACUGACCGUGACACAAGUAGCUACAGUACUUACCCUG